UCUCUGGUGUUCCAGAGGCUAAAACUCUGCACUCCCAAUGCAGGGCACCCGGGUUCAAUCCCUGGUCAGGGAA
rnacentral:tRNA from 1 species